AGGAUCUAGCGGUCCAGGGCGGGGACGGGAGGAGAACCCCAGCGGCCGUGACUGGGCAGACUGGGCCUGGCGUUGGGGGUCAGGAGUGGCCAGAGCUCCGGAGACCGCGGAGGAGAGCUGGACAGCUACCUGGGAGCUGGACUUGAGCUGCAAGGCAAGAUUUUUGGGCGCGAGGAGCCAGGACAGGCUUGGGAGAUAUGCAAGGAAGACGUUACCUUUCGGGUCUCUCAGUUUCUUCAACUGUGAAAAUGAGAUACCAACCUCGUAGUGAGUUGAGUCGGUUAAGUGAGCUCAUGCCUGGCACCUAACAACCUCUACUGGCCUCAAGUCUACCUGGCGAUACCUGACGCGCUAGCGAUUCCUAGUUUCAAUUCGCGGGGGGUGCAGGGCUCCCUCUCAAAGUUAAAAGGCUCAUUGGCUCCUGGGAAGCCAGACCGGUCUGUGGCACCCCCGUGGACUUCAGUGACUGCCCCUGCCCACGGAGCCGAAGGCUGGCUAUUCAUUGGAAUGGGACCGAAUCUGGGCCUUCCUUCUGGUGAAGAGCCCUGACCCGGGGUAGCCAUUCUCAAGGGCGAAGGUGCUGGACCUUCGUAGGAGUGUGAUGAACCCGUCCUCCAUUAAGCACCUACUAUAUGGUAGUUCUGUGCAGAGGGCUGGGAAUAUGAAUAAUACUAGCAAAACUUAACAUAUGCAGGUCACUUAUAAUCCUCACAACAACUUAUAAAUGUAGAUCCUGUAGCUACUUUAAGUUUUACAAAGGGAAAGGGAGGCAUAGUGAAGUAAAAUACCCUACCCAAAGUUACACAUUUAGGAAGUGGCAGAGCAUGGCUGGGACACAGGAAAGUAAACACUUGUUAGGUGAAAUAGACUAAAAUCACAACACAUUUGGGUUUAAUGCCCAAAAUAGGAAUAUACAGAAGAUGUAUACAGAAGACGUAAACAUCUCUUAAACAGAGAUGUUUAAGACACUGUUCCUGUCGUUAUAGCUAUGGGGAGGGGAGUGUCAGGAAGAUUUUUCUGAAGGAGGUGAUGUCUAAGCUCAAUUUGGAAGAAGAAAUGGGAGCUUCACAGCACCUAUAGGUGGAGAAAGGACACAGUAAACAUUUUUCAAGCAUUCAGAAGGGUUAGGGAAGAAGUGGAGAUUGGAAUGAAGCUAAAACAAUAGAAAAGGACCAAAUCUAAGCGCGUUCUUCCAAUAGGAGCUGAAGAACAUUAAUUUGACCCUUGUUUUGGAGAAAGUCAGAAGGAUUUUAAGCAUGGGAGACAUGUCAAAUGUUCUAGAAAGGUUAAUCUGAAAACAGCAUAGAGAAUACCAGAGCCAGGAAACUUGACUUAUGGAGUUAUUGAAAUAAGUCAGGUUGGGAUACAGUGGUAGGCAGAAUAAGAACUCCAGGAAAGAUGUUCACACCAGAAUCCCCAGAACCUGUGAAUAUGUUACCUUACAUGGCAAAAGGGACUUGGCAGGUGUGAUUAAGGUUAAAGAUAAUGAGAUGGGGAGAUUAUCCUGGAUUAUUUGGGUGGAUCUAAUCUAAUCAUAUGCUUCCCCUAAAGUGGAAGAAUGAGUCAGAGAUUCAAAGCAUGAGAAGGGCUUGACCUGGGUCAGGAGCCAAGGAGGGUGGGUGGUCUCUAGAAGCUGGGAAUGGACCUCAGUCAACAACAACAACAAAAUGGGAAUCUCAGUUCUACCACCAUAAGGAAAUGGAUCCUCCCUUGGAGCCUCCAGAAAGGAACUCAGCUCUACUGACACUUUGAGUUUAUCCUGGUGAGACCCAUACUGGACUUCUGACCUGUAGAACUGUAAAAUAAUAAAUGUAUGUUGUUUUAAA